CUGGAAAUAUGGAUCCUGAUACAGCUUAUACUUUCACAACAUAUUGUAAAUCCCAUUCUUGUAUUAAGAUUUGCUGUAUGGAUUGUUAAAUAGCUUAGGACUGAUUCCAUGAAUCGAACCCACUACAAUGACUCCCUUACAGUCUCUCCAUAAUGGAGAUUGAACACAGCCUUCAUGAAUCUUAUCUUUAACUUACGCAGGUAUAUCAAAACAACACUGACUAAGAUAAACUAAGCAUCAAGUAUACUUUAAAACUGAAAGACUAUCCAUGUCACAG
rnacentral:misc_RNA from 1 species